ensembl:lncRNA
CGAUAAUUACAGUGAAUUCAGAUACAUGCCAUUAUGGAGCAGGAAAAGAUAAGGGGCAUCUAGCUCAAGGAUACCCACAAGUUAGGCUAUGGACACUGGGGAUUGAACCCAGAAACGUUCGGCAGGGAGCUGAAUAACCUGAACCCCUUGCCUAUCCUGUCUGAUAUUACAAUGGACCAUUAAACUAUGGUACCAUGUAAUAAUAUAAACCAAGCCAGUCUUUGAGAUAAAAAAAACAUACUUUUUUGUGUCGUUCCGUUGGUUGGGCUCCGUCGUUCCGUGACAGUGAUCAUCGUGCCGUUUCCCAAAGACUGAAUAAGCAUGGGCUUAUCCAUGGUCACCUUGCAGACGUAGCGCCCAGCGUGGUUGCGGGUGACGUUGGGAAGGGUCAGGGUGGCACAGCCACAGGCCCCGUUGUUCACAGGUGACCGGUCCAAACCACAGCCCUCCCAGUUGUUUGUUAGGGCUGUCAGUUGGUGAGUAAUUGUAUCCUCAUUUUUCCACCAGUCCGCUCUAUACUGUGUGUGGUUGGCGCCUGUCCAGCAACAAUGGAGAGUUCUGCUGUCUCCCUCUACGACCUCCAAAUCUGCCGUCUGAUACACCUUUAUAUCCUUCUCUGGAACAAUUUCUGGAACAAGACAAAAGCAGAAGGACGUUGAAUUUUAUUACUAAACAAGUGUUUCCCAACCUUUUCUGUCUUAUGCGUACCCCCAUAUCCUGAUCAUCAAGAUUCUGCAUCAUUUUUUAACAAAACUGAUUUGUGGGUGUAAUAAAGUAAUAUCUCAAAUCUUUCCAGGUACCCCCUGUAACUGGUAACGUACCCCCCGAGUGCGGGCGUACCCCCGGUUGGGAAUCCCUUUGCUUAAGGUCUUCAUAGCAGCGGGAGGAAGAUGAAUUAUGAGCGGUACUCACCCUGAGCCAGCAGCGGCCCCAGAGAGAGAAGCAACAUAGUCCUCAGUGGAAACUCC